rnacentral:rRNA from 1 species
CUGAGACACGGCCCAGACUCCUACGGGAGGCAGCAGUGGGGAAUAUUGCACAAUGGGCGAAAGCCUGAUGCAGCGACGCCGCGUGAGGGAUGACGGCCUUCGGGUUGUAAACCUCUUUCGACAGGGACGAAGCGCAAGUGACGGUACCUGUAGAAGAAGCACCGGCCAACUACGUGCCAGCAGCCGCGGUAAUACGUAGGGUGCGAGCGUUGUCCGGAAUUACUGGGCGUAAAGAGCUUGUAGGCGGUUCGUCGCGUCGAUUGUGAAAACUUGCAGCUCAACUGCAAGCUUGCAGUCGAUACGGGCGGACUAGAGUACUUCAGGGGAGACUGGAAUUCCUGGUGUAGCGGUGAAAUGCGCAGAUAUCAGGAGGAACACCGGUGGCGAAGGCGGGUCUCUGGGAAGUAACUGACGCUGAGAAGCGAAAGCGUGGGUAGCGAACAGGAUUAGAUACCCUGGUAGUCCACGCCGUAAACGGUGGGUACUAGGUGUGGGUUUCCUUCCACGGGAUCCGUGCCGUAGCUAACGCAUUAAGUACCCCGCCUGGGGAGUACGGCCGCAAGGCUAAAACUCAAAGGAAUUGACGGGGGCCCGCACAAGCGGCGGAGCAUGUGGAUUAAUUCGAUGCAACGCGAAGAACCUUACCUGGGUUUGACAUACACCAGAAAGCCGUAGAGAUACGGCCCCCCUUGUGGUUGGUGUACAGGUGGUGCAUGGCUGUCGUCAGCUCGUGUCGUGAGAUGUUGGGUUAAGUCCCGCAACGAGCGCAACCCUUAUCUUAUGUUGCCAGCGCGUAAUGGCGGGGACUCGUGAGAGACUGCCGGGGUCAACUCGGAGGAAGGUGGGGACGACGUCAAGUCAUCAUGCCCCUUAUGUCCAGGGCUUCACACAUGCUACAAUGGCCGGUACAGAGGGCUGCGAUACCGUGAGGUGGAGCGAAUCCCUUAAAGCCGGUCUCAGUUCGGAUCGGGGUCUGCAACUCGACCCCGUGAAGUUGGAGUCGCUAGUAAUCGCAGAUCAGCAACGCUGCGGUGAAUACGUUCCCGGGCCUUGUACACACCGCCCGUCACGUCAUGAAAGUCGGUAACACC